UUUGGAAGCACAGAGAAGAGAAGCUCCCAAGAAAAACACACUCCUGUCGCAGCUUCAUUUUGAUUAUAGCACAGAUGUAAGAGCACCCAGUGAAUUCGUGGUCUCCAGAUGGGUUUUCUGGCAUCUCCAUAUCUCCCUGUGAUUAUUUGGGAGGGUUGAUGUUUGUGGGUUUGUGAUUUGUUUGUUUUUGGUCUUUCGUUUGCUCAGUGUCUGCCAAAUAGACACAUUUCCCCAGUUUUCACUAUUUAGGAGCACUUAAAC
rnacentral:lncRNA from 1 species